rnacentral:rRNA from 1 species
UACGUAGGGUGCAAGCGUUGUCCGGAAUUAUUGGGCGUAAAGAGCUCGUAGGCGGUCUGUCGCGUCGGAUGUGAAAAUCAGGGCUCAACCCUGGACCUGCAUUCGAUACGGGCAGACUAGAGUUCGGCAGGGGAGACUGGAAUUCCCGGUGUAGCGGUGAAAUGCGCAGAUAUCAGGAGGAACACCGGUGGCGAAGGCGGGUCUCUGGGCCGAAACUGACGCUGAGGAGCGAAAGCGUGGGGAGCAAACAGG